ensembl:lncRNA
GCACAUCUCCGUUUCCUGUGUGUGUGUUGUUACAAAUCAAAGUGUACAAAAUAUGCCAAACGCAGAUUUGUAAUUACUUAUGAACUUUUUCUACUUAUUUCUUUAGACCAAAUCCCCUGUACACGUAUAGUGACUCAGAGGAUGAGCAGCCCACAAAAAAAAGGUUUCCCCAGGCCCCUCGAGUGAAAAUACCAGGUAAUAAAAUAAUGUCUAGUGUCUGUGUACAUAACUGUGUGUCACACAUGGAAACUUCUUGGACAAGUUGUCUGUAUUCUUAAAUACUUUAAAAAAUUUAUCUUUUUCGAUACAGCCCUCAACGCUUCGCAGUCUUCCCCCCAGCCCACUGACAGCAGACAUCAUAAUGCCCCUCAGCUUCCGGCACCUUUCGCCACUCCGGGAGAACAUUCCGAACGACACACCUUUACAAUCUCCCCAGCAUGCAGAGUCUGAUGUAGAGGCCUUCCCUAUAGAUGGUAUGCCUUUAAAUUUUGUUUUAAAGCUGAAUCACAAUGUCAUUGUGCACUUAUCUUCGAAAGCAGAUAUAAAGCCGUUUAUACUGCUGAAUGUCAUCUUGUGAUUUGUUUUUCUGUAGAUUCCAGAGACUCUGUGAGGCCACUAUUACAAGGCAAGUUCGAACAUCUUGGAAUUUCAGAUUUUACAUGUUAUAAAUGGUAAAUGGACUAUAUUUGCACAGCGCUUUAACUAGUCCCUAAGGACCCCAAAGCGCUUUGCACAUUCAGUCAUCCACCCAUUCACACACACAUUCACGCACUAGUGAUGACAAGCUACAUAUACAAAUAUCAGAUAUAUGUGACAGGCAAAAACUAGCAAAAACUUUUAGCAGUUAAAACAACUAAUAAUUGAAUGCAGAAUGUUACACCAUCACUUAUGGAUAUAUUAGUGUUUCGCCACACACUGCUUAAGCCAUUAAUCUUUCUGGAAUUGUUCUUUGAAACAGAUGCGACCGCACAAAAGUUUUUAACAAUGCUGUCAGACCUGACGAGAUCUGUCAACGAACUGCGUGAGGAGGUCAGAGCCAUCCGCAAUACCGGCUCAAAUGAAUCUCUAGAUGCUGGGGUACUCCCUUUGGAUUUGCCCUUAAACAGCAUUGAGGAGCUAAACCAUGCAGAGGCAGCUCUUACGUCGCAAGAGGCAAUUAAGGCAAUGGUGAGACGCUUUGCCUUGAUUGGAGGGACCACACUUGAGGUGCGAGUCCGCCGUGUAAUGGCUUAUGCCAUUACAAAUGAGCUGGCCUCAGUACUAAACUGGGCAGGGAAAAAAACAAAGGACCAGACGAAGCAAAAAAAGGGCAUUUAAAGAUACUGCGCUGUGCAGAUGCAUAUUUGGUAAGUUUUACCGUUUAUUGUAGUUUUAUGAGGCUAAAGUGAACAAUAAAGGGAUCAAUUGAUCUGCUGGGUGUGUUUCACAUGUCCUAUGUCCGGUUUUUGUCCAAGAUGGCCUGACGCAGCAGUUAGGGGCAAACUCGAUGUCAGAGUUUCUCUUUGCACAGGCAGUGCAGAAGUGGCUACGGUACGCCCCAGACCGUUCGGGUGGUGCAGGACGCACAUCAUCCGUCCCCAUCCCGGGGGAGUAGUAAAAACUACAAAGUUAUAUUAAAAUAUAAAUGUAAAAUAGAAAACUGUGUUUAAAUAAAGUAUUUAGCAAACAAAACAUGUCUAUUGACCUUUUUUUGUUUAGUUUUUUUUUCUCUGUUACAUCACAUGCAAUGCUUUCUUAUUUUAGGAUAUUAAUAUUGACAAGAUACAUUGUGAGACAUUUGAUUUUUAUAAAGGGUGUCCAGUUUGAGGAUUCAGUGCAAUUAUGUGUUUAGGUGGUUUAAGUGUUUAUGGAAAC